ACAACCCGAAUCUUAUAUGAGCUGUAUCUGUAUUGUUUAGAACUAAUUAAUUAAUGUUUCAGUAUUACUAAAAAAUACAAAUACAGAGGCUACAUACCAUCCGCAUUAAGAAAUAUCUGGCUUCUAUGAAAAAUUGUAAAACAAUAUUUCUAAUAUAGAUAAUUAAUUUAUAGAUUAUAAGGUCUAUAAAAGUAACUUAUAAUUAAUUAUCUCAUUUAAUGUAGGCCUAAAAUCAGCCAACUAGCAAUACUUUACCGUAGUAAUAAAAAAAAAUAAAUAAAUAAAAAUAGUAUAAAAACAUAGAAUAUAAAAACAAUUAAUUAAUUUUAAAUUAAUAUGUAUAUAUAAGUAUAUUAUAAACAAAUUUUAAGGAAUUCGGCAAAUAUUAUUUUCGACUGUUUAACAAAAACAUUUCCUUUAGCAAAUUAAAUUAAAGGUAACCUCUGCCCAAUGACGAACUUAAAAGGCCGCGGAAUAUAAACCGUGCUAAGGUAGCAUAAUAAUUUGUCCUUUAAUAGGGGACUAGAAUGAAUGAGAAAACGAAAAAUAAGCUGUCUCAAUUUUACAAAUAAAAAUUAUUUUUCAAGUGAAGAAACUUGAAUUAAUCUGUAAGACAAGAAGACCCUAUAAAGCUUUGAUAAAUAAAAUAGAGUAACUAUUGAACUAUUCGGUUGGGGCGACCUAGGUAUAAUAAAACAACCUAUAAAUUAACAGAGUAAUAAUUCAUAUAUAGAUCUAAUUAACUAAAAAAUUAAGCUACUUUAGGGAUAACAGGCUAAAAUAUUUCAAGAGUUCUUAUCAAAAAAUAUACAUGGCACCUCGAUGUUGGCUUAAGAUACCUAGAUUACGCAGUAGUUGUCUAAGGUGGUAGGUUUGACCAUUAAAAUCUUACAUGAGCUGAGUUCAGACCGGCGUGAGCCAGGUUAGAUUCUAUCUACAGAAAAAGAUAAUCUUCGUUUCUAGUACGAGAGGACCAAAACGA
rnacentral:rRNA from 1 species